UACGAAGGGGGCUAGCGUUGUUCGGAAUUACUGGGCGUAAAGGGCGCGUAGGCGGCGCUGUAAGUGAGAUGUGAAAGACCUGGGCUCAACCUGGGAAGUGCAUUUCAUACUGCAGUGCUUGAGUGUGAGAGAGGAAAGUGGAAUGAUGCAUGUAGAGGUGAAAUUCGUAGAUAUGCAUUGGAACACCAGUGGCGAAGGCGACUUUCUGGCUUACAACUGACGCUAAGGCGCGAAAGCGUGGGGAGCAAACAGG
rnacentral:rRNA from 1 species